rfam:Felis catus isolate Cinnamon breed Abyssinian chromosome X, whole genome shotgun sequence.
GCCUGGGUGGCUCAGUUGGUUAAGCAUCUGACUUCAGCUCAGAUCAUGAUCUCACGGUUCGUGUGUUCAAGCCCCAUGUCAGGCU